rnacentral:rRNA from 1 species
AAACCAGCACCUCAAGUGGUCAGGAGGAUUAUUGGGCCUAAAGCAUCCGUAGCCUGUUCUGUAAGUUUUCGGUUAAAUCUGUACGCUCAACGUACAGGCUGCCGGGAAUACUGCAGAGCUAGGGAGUGGGAGAGGUAGACGGUACUUGGUAGGAAGGGGUAAAAUCCUUUGAUCUACUGAUGACCACCUGUGGCGAAGGCGGUCUACCAGAACACGUCCGACGGUGAGGGAUGAAAGCUGGGGGAGCAAACCGGAUUAGAAACCCCAGUAGUCC